rnacentral:rRNA from 1 species
AUUCACUAGUGAUUCCUACGGGAGGCAGCAGUGGGGAAUAUUGCACAAUGGGCGCAAGCCUGAUGCAGCGACGCCGCGUGAGGGAUGACGGCCUUCGGGUUGUAAACCUCUUUCAGUAGGGAAGAAGCCUUUUGGGGUGACGGUACCUGCAGAAGAAGCGCCGGCUAACUACGUGCCAGCAGCCGCGGUAAUACGUAGGGCGCAAGCGUUAUCCGGAAUUAUUGGGCGUAAAGAGCUCGUAGGCGGUUUGUCGCGUCUGCCGUGAAAGUCCGGGGCUCAACUCCGGAUCUGCGGUGGGUACGGGCAGACUAGAGUGAUGUAGGGGAGACUGGAAUUCCUGGUGUAGCGGUGAAAUGCGCAGAUAUCAGGAGGAACACCGAUGGCGAAGGCAGGUCUCUGGGCAUUAACUGACGCUGAGGAGCGAAAGCAUGGGGAGCGAACAGGAUUAGAUACCCUGGUAGUCCAUGCCGUAAACGUUGGGCACUAGGUGUGGGGGACAUUCCACGUUUUCCGCGCCGUAGCUAACGCAUUAAGUGCCCCGCCUGGGGAGUACGGCCGCAAGGCUAAAACUCAAAUGAAUUGACGGAAUCGAAUUCCCG